UCAAAAGAUUUGUCUACAAAUUUGCCUGGUAACCAACUGCUCUGAAUUUAAACAAAUUGUUACUAUGAUCUCAUCAGUGGACAAUGAAGGAGAGCAUGAUGACGAUGAUGAUGACUAUGACAAAAGGGGUGCUGGAAUAAGCAUCUGUUGCUAAGGGUAGAUGCUCCACACAAAGAUCAAAGGAGACACGCUGGACCAAGAACUGUGUUGUUCGAUGAUACAAACCGGCAGCCAAGUCAAACGCACAGUUCCUGUCGUGCCAAAGAGUCACGAUCAAGAAAACCUCCCGCGCCAUGUAAGCACAUGGCAAACCGCGACGGUGACACAAAGACUGAAAAAUCCAUGGAAAAGAUGCCUCUCGCAACUUUCCCGCUGUGCAGUGGCAGCAGCAUCUGUGUUCUUCAGAUUGGCUUUGCUUUUGUGCCUGUUUGUGCAACCCUGAAGAAACCAUGGAGAGAACAAAAUAAUAUACGUGGAGUGGUGGAAACCUGAUGGCUGAAGCUGCUGGUCCAAAGGUUUGAAGAUGUGAGCCAAUAAUCCAAACGGCAGUCUAAAACACCAUUGUGCUCUCGAGCAAAGCACUUGACUUCAUGUUAUUUCAGCAGGACUUGAACUGCGAUUGUUCUACUGUAGUCACUUAGAAGCAUCCUAAACAAACAGGAUGGGCUGGAUGGGCAACAUUUAAAAGGAUGCGUUUUGCUCGAAUCUACUGUACUGGGGGUCAGUGCCCUAUUCACGCCCACGUGUAAAUGUUAUAGUUUGUUAAAGAUAUUUUAUCAAGACUAUGGCUGCUUGGUCCAAGAUACUCUCCAGAAAAACUAGCAGAAGGUUUCUGGAGCAGCAGAGAUCAGGGUCAGAGGUAAAAGACCACUGUACUUUUAGGAUCUUCUCACCUCCAUAGACUUUUAUGCCACAGUACUGUCACAGUACUGGCAUUCAGCCAUAGGGAGCAUGUUUUGUGCGAGAUGACACGCUCACCAGGACAGUCAACAAGCACACCAAUUCUGCAGGUUGUGCUUACAAAGUUGAACUCUCUGGUUCUGAUAUCUUGCAAACACACAUUACACCAUGACACACUGCCGAAUGCCCAUGCACAGGUGUCGUCAGUGCUGUUAAACACAAGCAACACUUGUGGAUAUAAAUGAGAAAGCAAUGUGUAACUCAUAACUCUGUCCAAAUAAAAGGACUGAGGUCUAGCCAAAAAUGAAGCCCAACUGGUCACAACAUCAGUGGGACUCGUCUUAUUGAAAUAUAAUUGUUGUACUUAGUUAUGUAGCAGGGGAUUAUUAGCAAAGUGAUCUGUAGCAGUAAAUUAACAAUAAGUUGACUGCAGAUUUAUGUGCAUCUGUCUGCCUGUGACUGCAUCACCUGCCAAUAAGCUACAUAGAAACUCCCCCAUAAAAAAUUUAUACAACCGAUCAUAGUUUAUGGUGUGAAUGUCUGUUAAAGAGCUUAUUUUCUGAACUGGAGAAUCUUGGGGGUCAGUAAUAUUUUAUAUAUAAGGGUAGUUCGUUUAAAAGUUCAUGCCAUGUGAAAAUGCUGAUGUUGGGUUUACCUGCAGCUUUUAUACUUAGCGACUGAAUCUCAUACUGAUUUAAUGUACUGAUAAAUUCCAUGUCUGGUUGAAAUGGUUUGCUUUCCUAAAUGUAACAGAUACAAUCUAUUUACUCUACAAUCAUGACAAAAUUGUUUGAGUAUUAUAUGUAUUGUUUUAGAAUAAAACAGAACCAUGAACUUA